CCUACGGGUGGCUGCAGUGGGGAAUAUUGGACAAUGGGCGAAAGCCUGAUCCAGCCAUGCCGCGUGUGUGAAGAAGGCCUUCGGGUUGUAAAGCACUUUCAGUGGGGAAGAAAGCCUUGGGGCUAAUACCCUCGAGGAAGGACAUCACCCACAGAAGAAGCACCGACUAACUCCGUGCCAGCAGCCGCGGUAAUACGGAGGGUGCGAGCGUUAAUCGGAAUUACUGGGCGUAAAGCGCGCGUAGGCGGUCUGAUAAGCCGGUUGUGAAAGCCCCGGGCUCAACCUGGGAACGGCAUCCGGAACUGUCAGGCUAGAGUGCAGGAGAGGAAGGUAGAAUUCCCGGUGUAGCGGUGAAAUGCGUAGAGAUCGGGAGGAAUACCAGUGGCGAAGGCGGCCUUCUGGACUGACACUGACGCUGAGGUGCGAAAGCGUGGGUAGCAAACAGGAUUAGAUACCCGAGUAGUC
rnacentral:rRNA from 1 species